AUUUAGAUAAAGUUUUUCCUAACGUAGAUUUUGUUCUACGUAUGCUUUUAUGUAUGGAAAUAACUAAUUAUUCAGCCGAGAGAUCUUUUUCUACGUUAAAACGCAUACAAAAUUAUUUGAGCAAGUAUGGAAGGAGAUAAACUAAAUUCACUGAGUUUAUUAGUAAUUGAAACUGAACUAGUGAACAAAAUGGACUUUGAUGCCAUAUUAGAUAAUUUUGCGAUUCAAAAGUCGCGCAGAAAGCCGACGAGUACUAGGCACUAACUAUUUAAUUUUGAAUAUAAUUUAAAAAUGAACUACUUAAUCAUUUUUUACUACCAUGUUUUUUAUCAUUAUAUUUUAUAUCUUUAUAUAUUUUAUAUUUUUUAUAAUUAAGCUUUUCAUAUGAAUGUAUGUAUGCAUUUUUAUAACAGCUGUAUAU